rnacentral:rRNA from 1 species
UCGGGGUUAAUAGCCCCYACACAAAGUUUGACCUCGGAUCAGGUAGGGAUACCCGCUGAACUUAAGCAUAUCAAUAAGCGGAGGAAAAGAAACCAACAGGGAUUGCCUCAGUAACGGCGAGUGAAGCGGCAAAAGCUCAAAUUUUAAAGCUGGCAUNUUCGGUGNCCGCGUUGUAAUUUUGUGAGGCAUCUCCGGGUAGGGCGCCAGCCUAAGUUCCUUGGAACAGGACGUCACAGAGGGUGAGAAUNCCGUGCUUGGCUGGCUGUCCCCGCNUAUGUGGGGUGUNUUNGNCGAGUNGAGUUGUUUGGGAAUGCAGCUCAAAAUGGGUGGUAAAUUUCAUNUAAAGNUAAAUAUUGGUGGGAGACCGAUAGCGCNCAAGUAGAGUGAUNGAAAGAUGAAAAGCNCUUUGAAAAUAGAGUUAAAAAGUACGNGAAAUUGUUGAAAGGGAAGCGCUUGAGACCNGANUUNGGUNGGGGGUGAUNNGCCGUUCUUNUGGNCGGNGCNCUUGCCCCCNUNCGGGCCNGCNUNGGNUGAGGCGGCGGGAUAAAUGNUCCGGGAANGNGGNUNCUNUCGGGGNGNGUUAUNGCCCGGGGAGAAUGCCGCCAGCCUCGACCGAGGACCGCGCCCGCAAGGGCUAGGAUGCUUGGCAUAAUGGUCUUCAGCGACCCGUCUUGAAACACGGACCAAGGAGUCUAACAUCUAUGCGAGUGUUUGGGUGUCAAACCCUUGCGCGAAAUGAAAGUGAACGGAGGUGGGAACCCGCAAGGGUGCACCAUCGACCGGUCCCGAAGUCUUCUGAAGGAUCUGAGUAGGAGCAUAGCUGUUGGGACCCGAAAGAUGGUGAACUAUGCCUGAAUAGGGUGAAGCCAGAGGAAACUCUGGUGGAGGCUCGCAGCGGUUC